rnacentral:rRNA from 1 species
GAUAAACGCUGGCGGCGUGCCUAACACAUGCAAGUCGAACGCCCUGUCUUUCGGGAUAGGGAGUGGCGGACGGGUGAGUAGCGCGUGGGGAUCGACCCUGGGGUGAGGAAUACCACCGGGAAACCGGUGACAAUACCGCAUAGGCUUGGGCACCCAAGCAAAGCUUCUUUCGGGAGGCGCCACAGGACGAGCCUGCGUCCGAUUAGCUGGUUGGUGAGGUCACGGCUUACCAAGGCGACGAUCGGUAGCUGGUCUGAGAGGACGAUCAGCCACACUG